UGGCUGCGAAAAGAGUUUUAAUUUUUUAUGAGGCCGACGAUGAUUACGGCCUCAGGCGACAGGCACAAAUCGGAGAGAAACUAUGUUUGAA
rnacentral:ncRNA from 1 species